ensembl:lncRNA TRHDE-AS1 TRHDE antisense RNA 1
UCUGCACUACUUUUAUCUUUUAUUUUCUUUCCUUUUCUUCUUACCUUCCUUCCUACUCUCCUUUAUUUUUGGAAGCUGCAUUCACCCUACUGGAAGAACCUAUUCUGAACAUAAAGUAAUUUGCCUCAUCCUGCUUAUCCCCAUGACAAAUAGUUUAAGUAGCAUCUGGUGAGACAAGAGAAAAGAGUAACUAUACAUUUACCCUUCUGCACCCUCAUCUUCUACCCAGCUGUCUCUCCUCCCUUUUCCUCUUUAUCAAUAUUUUCCCCUUCUUUGGACCAACUAUUUAAACUGUUCUUAAAAUUUAUUAAAUAGAAGUGGACCUCCAGCAAUUUUUCUUGCUCCUAUAAUCUAAAGUAUUCAAACUCCUCACUUGAAACAUGAAAGAAAAUCAGGAUGUAAACGUUCCCCUUUUUAAACUUUUUUAUUUUCUAAACCAUCUUCCUCUGCAUAAAGUCAGUCUGCCACUCUAAACAGCACUUGUCAGGAAUGUGUGAAGUUAUUAAAAGAGAAGGAACUUUAGAAGAUCUAAAUUCAAAUUACCUUGACUACCAUUCUUUAGUAAUAAAAGGGGAGAUAGAAAGAAGACAGAAACCACCAGAUUUUCUAAAAUCUCCAGCAAUAUUCAUCCAUCUAAAGCAUCUGAGAAACAAUGACCCAAGUUAUAUUGGGAGAGAUAUUUUAGCUCUCUUGCCUGAAUCUAACUCACAGAAACUGGGGAAAUAUCAAAAAUCACUUAUUCUAAAUGUUUCGGUCAAGAAGUGUUUUGGAUUUCAGAUUUUGGAAUAUUUGCAUAUACAUAGUGAGAUAUCUUAGGGGUGGGACCCAAGUCUAAACACAAAAUUCAUUUAUGUUUUAUAUGCCCUUUAAACACCAUAGCCUGAAGUUAAUUUAAUAUAAUAUUUUUAAUAGUUUUGUGCAUGAAACAAAGUUUUGACUGUUUGACUGUAACCCAUUACCUAAAGUCAGGUGUGGAAUUUUCCACUUGUUACCUGGAGUGCAUCAUGUUGGCAUUGAAAUAGUUUUGGAUUUUGGAGCAUCGGAUUUCAGAUUUUUGGAUUAAGGAUGUUCAACCUGUAUUAGAUAGCCUGGUGCUUUUCUCCUCAUAAUCACUCCAAUAAUAAUGAAAGGAUAAUCAUAAAGAUGACAACAAUUACAACAAAGAUGAUAAAAAAAAUUAAGCCACUUGGCAACACUAUUUGUGGCCUCAUGAAAAUGACUCCCAAUGUCAUAAUUCCCUCUGAGAUCCCCACAAUAAAAAACUAUUGGAACUAGAACUGCAUACCGCAGUUAUUGGUCAUUUCACAUGGUGCCAUGUUCAGGCAUAGCUGGUAUGAGUGCUAUUUGCUUUCAUCCAGGGGAGCCAUUCUCAGUAAGCUUCAUCUCUGUGCUGAUGAGAGCCUGGGUCUGUUCUUCUAGCCCAGGAUCUUCACAUCUCUCAAAGGACUGCAGCUCUCCUUAGAUAUUCUGUGUACCACAGGAAGGGGCUGUACCAAUUUACAGCAAUCUCUUUUCAACAUGGUAACUAAUGCAAGUAUUAGACCACAAGGCUUCUCUUUGGAAACUUGUCCAAAGGCUGUCAUCUCUGCUAUUCAUUCAUUCAUUCAUUUAGUCAACAAAUAUUUAUUAAGCAACAAACGUGUGCAAGGCACUGUUCUUGGCAUAGUGAACAAAACAGAUUAAAAUUCUGAUCUUGUGGAACUUGCAUUCUAAUAAGGGAGACAAUUUUUUUUUAAAAUGAAGUAAAAUAGAUAGGGCGAUAGGGAGUGCUGGGCCCAGGAAGAAAGGGUUACAAUACUAAAUAUGAUAGUUAGGGAAGCCCUCAAAUUUGAACAAGGAUCUGCAGGAAGUGAAGUAUGUUGAUAUCUGGGGAAGAGGGAACAACAAAAGCAAAGGAAUUGAUACAGGAAUGUUGCUGGUGUCUGAGAUAUGGCAAGCAGGUCUGGGUGGCCAGAGAGGAGUAAAGUAGGAAAAAAGGAAAAGUAGGUGGGGUUGGAAAAAUAAUGGGGAGCCAAGACUGGGUAAGGUUUUGUAGGCUAUUGUAAGUACUUAGACUUCUACUAAGUGAUGGAAAGCAACUGAUAAAAGUUGACUUUCAAUUGGAAAGAGCCAUGAAAGUUGAUGGAUGGUCAACUUUUGACCUGAGGAAUGACAUGACCUAUUGUAGGUUUUAGAAAAGUCCUUCCGGUAGAUUUAAUGAACAUUCACUGAAAGAUAAAAAAGAGGGUAAUUGAAAUAAUCCAUGCAAGAGAUGAUUGUAGCUUGGAUAAGGAUGGUAGUAGAGGGGUGGUGAGAAGUGGUAAGAGUUUUGCUGAAGGAUUAUACAUGGGUUGUAGGUAAGAAACCUCAAGGUUGAUACCAGGAUGUUUGAUCUGAGCAGCUAGAUGGAUGAAGUUGACAUUUAUCGCAGGACAGUUCCCUGAAUGGCCCUGGACCCACCCAGUUCUCCCCCUUUCUUGUUUACAGUUACCAAGAAUAACUGUAAAAUGUGCUGGGAAUGCAAUGUCCUGAGAUAAGGAAGAACUGCCUGAAACAGCCUGGAUCUUAUUCCUGUACUUCCUAGGGAAUGUAACAUCUCAAGUUAAAGAGGAACUGCCCGGAACAGCCCGGGGAUUGUUCCUCUCUCCUGAGAAGGAAGAUUACCUCCAAAGCUCAUCCACUGAGUCACACUGCCCCUGUGGUGGAGGGCGGGCUGCCUUUCCAGGUUCCUCAGCUGUGGUGUAACUGAAGCAGGCACAAUCAAGACUCCAUCUGCUCGAGGCAGCUUUCUCGAACCUUGGGGAACCUACUCACAAUGGAUCACAGGCUUCUUUUGUUUUGUUUCUUGCUGCCUAUCUGUAAGUAAUUAACUUGCUUCAUGUAACGUGUUGCAUAUGAGUGUGUUCUGUCUCAUAGACUCAGGGAAUUGGUAACACUGCAGCUGAGGACGCAGUGGACAGAAGUGUUCAGACUCCUGUUCCUUGUGGUUGACACAGUGAUGAUGAUCUCUUCUGUCCUCCACAGAGUGGAAGUCCUCUCUUGGGAUUGGUUAUUGGUGAAACCACUUCGCAAUUUAUUAAGAUGGCAAAAGCUUACGGAGGGACAGAUUUGAGGGGAAGAUCAAGAUUUUUCUGUCAGUAUUGCAAAUAGUCAAGAAUAUGUGGUCCAAGAAGUGAUCAUUAUCUUUGGCAUUGUGCAAGUCAUUAGUGACCUUCACAUGAACAGUCUCAGUGGAGUGUUGGAGGAAAAAGCCUAACUGAAGAAGGUUCAAGAGUGAAUGGAAAAAGAGCAGUAGUAUGUGGAGAGUACAGACAAGUAUUUCCAGGAGCCUUUCUGUAAAGAGUGGUAGAGAAUGGGACAUCAUUUUUGGAUGGGGGAAGAGUUAUUUAUAGCAUGUUCAUAUGCUAAUGGAAGUGAUCUACUCAUGGGGAAAAUCUUGAUGAUGCAAGAAAGAAAGGGAUUUGUUGGAAUCUUGUCCUAUAACGGGUGAGAGGGGAUGGGUUCUAGAAGAAAAGGCAUGGGUCUUUGUUUGAGAUCAGGCAAUUCAUCUGUAGGAACCAGUAGGAAGAUGGUUAAGUGGGUACCUGUGGUAGUGGAUGUUUGUGAACAUUCUUUUCUUUUCCAUUGUUUCUAUUUUCUCAAUAAAGUGGGAAGCAAAAAUCAGCUGAGUGAAGAUGAGGAAGAAGGUGUUAAAGGUUUGAAGAAAAAAGGAAAAGGAUAUACUAAUCUAAGAGGACAAGUAAGUAGAACAUAGAUAAUGAAAAUGCUGGCCCUUAGGACUGUUGGGCCUAAAUGCUCAUAUUAUAUUGGUAGUCACAAAUUUGAACUUUCUCUAGAGCCAAUUUUUGCAUGUGUGUGCAGGCCUGGAGUAGUUGGAGAGUUGGAUUUAAUAGAAUUGAGGGUCAAGCAACUACAACCAGGGAAGAGUGGGACAAGGGAGAUAAAGGAUAUUGGCAGGGGAGCAAUUAUAAACAUGGACCAUGAUCAAAACUGGACAGGAAGGAAAAUAGAGAUAAGAGGGGUGGAAGGUUAAAAAUAGUGAAAAUGAGAUAGAAUGAAUAGGUUGUAGGUCCCUGUAAAGUUGAAGAAGUAUUAUUAUGCAGUACUCGUUAUUGAAAUGAGGUCACUAUGCUUAAGGCACAGUGAAUCCUAGAAAAUAGUGGUUUUGUUUCUCAUUAGGCAAUACAUUCCUCCUUGCUCCAGAAUGCAACAUACAUGUAUCCUUUUCUGUACUAUUUUUUAUUAAGAAUUCAUACUUAAUUCCACUGACUGCCACUCAAUUUUAAUGUACAGUAGGGAAUUCCUGUACUAUGUAUUAUGAAUCCAUUCCUUUGAAUUUCAUUUAUAAUACUUCAUGACUGACACCUGGCUUUCCACCAAGACUCAAUUUUCAUAGCAAGCCUCAUCAUCAUAAGCCCCCAAAUUAACAGGAUGAGGAGGAAGAAUUGGCAGGCUAAAGAAGAUGAUUAUAUCAAUUAAUGCAGAAAAAGCAUUUGAUAAAAUCCAAUAUUCAUUUGUAAUUAAAAACUCUCAGCAAGUUAGGGAUAGGAAUUACUUCAACUUAAUGAAGAGUGUCUUUAAAAACCUUAUUUUCAUCAGUUAUAACAAAUGUACCACUCUGGUGGUGAAUGUUGCUAAGGAGGGAAGCUAUACAUGUGUGGGGAAAGGAGAUGUGUGAGCAAUUUCUGUACCUUCUACUCAAUCUUCUGUGAGACUAAAAUUGCUGUAAAAAAUAAAGUUCAUUUUUUUAAAAA